ensembl:lncRNA MIR548XHG MIR548X host gene
GGCUAAGUGCCCGGGUUCGUCCUAAUCAAGCUAAACAGUAGUCACUGGGUUCCACGGUUCUCUUCCGUGACCCACGGCUUCUGACAGAGCUAUAACACUCACCACAUGGCCCAAGAUUCCAUUCCUUGGAAUCUGUGAGGCCAAGAACCCCAGGUUAGAGAACCUGAGGCUUGCCACCAUCUUAGAAGCGGCUUGCCACCAUCUUGGAAGUGGCUCGCCACCAUUUUGGCAACCAGGAAGGGACCUCCAAAGCGGGAGAAAGCAUUUAUGGUGAGGAGAAAAGCAGCUGGUAUCACACUCUACCCAAGUCCCAAAAGCAGGUUCACAUAACUCCUGUCUUCAUUAUCUGAUAUCCGGGACUUUUUCCCUUUCACCUUCCAUUAUAGGAUGAUGCAGCAAGAAGGCCCUCACCAGAUACCAGUCCUUUGAUCUUGGACUACCCAGGCUUCAGAACUAUAAGAAAUAAAUCUCCGUUCUUUGAGGAUUACCCAGUUUGUGCUAUUCUGUUAUGGCAGCACAAAAUGGACUAAGACAUAGGUCCAAUCUAAGGCCUAUCUCCCAGAGGACACCUCAUAGCUGUGAAUGAAUGAGCACUAAGUAAGCCAGCAUCUGCCUUUUUUGUUCUGGAAAUCCCACUGUUUAUAAGAUUUCAAACUAUUGCACAUCUCUGGUAAUCUUUUCUCCUUGUUUCUCUCUCUACAAGGUCAAACAGACCUGUACAUUUUCAACUGACUCUACUGGUUCCUUUUAUUUUAUUUUACAUGCUAACUUUGAUGCUUCCCCUUGCUAUUGAGGGACAAUUUAGAAUAAUGAUUAAAGGGAAUAUUUUACAACCAGAAA